rnacentral:lncRNA from 1 species
AUGUCCUCAAUUUGUCUGAAAGAUCUCUUUGAGUCCAAAGUGGCAGAAACUCCAAUCCAGCAUUUCCAGAGGAGCCCUUCCGUGACAUCUAGCGCUUUGGGUCCUUUCAGGCGCCAAAGUUUCUUUGACCAAGUAGAUCGAUCACUAAAGACAGACAGCCUGACCAUCAAAUCAGCUCUACGUGUGCAGAGACCACACAGUACCUCCAAUGUGCAGGCUAAGAGAUUCACAAAUCUUCUACAUCUUGUAAAAGAAAAGGCCAUUACAAAAUCAAUCCUUAACAGUGCAUCUGAAGAAAAACAGAAAGAGGUGCACUUUAAUGAAGUCCAGAUUGAGCACAAAAGGCGGCAAGAGGAACAGAGGCAGCUGAAGAGGGAGCAGCAGCAAAAGGCAGAUGGUGUCCGACGCCAGCUGCUCAGGGACAACCAGAGGCAGCGAUUGCUUCAGAGAACAUUGCAAGGACUGGAGAAACAGCAGGAGCACAGAGACAGAGCUUUCCAGCACAUAGCACUGCUCCAAGCUGCCAUGGCAGAGAGGAGCAGGAAGGAAUCCUCCUUGCUAGAGGAGGAGAGGAGAAAGGCAAGCCAGAGGCUGCAGUUCUUAAGAACACAGCGUUUGGAGAGAGACGUGGUUUUGGCAGAACAUAAUGAAAGGAGCUUUGAACAAGAGAAAGAUAGGCUGGUAAGGGCUCUUUCACAAAUGCUUUUCCUGGACAACUGUGUUUCCAAUAGUGGUAUCAUCUAGAAUACUUAUUUUUCACCUGUUUUCUAUCCAAUAUAAUUAUCAUUUGGAGAUGCAAAAACAAUGUGACAUUUUUUAAACACUUGCAUAAAAAGUUGAGAAGGAAAAUUCCCCAUCUCUGUGGUAGAAGAAGUCUUUCUGUGUGCAAGGGAUGAAUUUCCACAGAUGAAGCCCACAUGGGGAACUAAGUAUCAACUGUCUACAUCAAGCUGGUUAUGGCAAAUUCACUAUUAUACCUAUUUCUAAGUUCUGCCAGUAAUAUUUGUAGAUUAAAUUAAGCAUGAAAGCUGGCUAUACAAUAGCAAAUGUCUCUUCUCUAAUUAUUUUUAUGUAGGAUUUGCUCAGGAGCAGAAUACAGUCACGGCAGGAAACGUGGGAACAAGAAUCACAGGAGCAGGACAGGCAGCAAAAGCAGCACCAGGCUGCCAAAAGGAGAGUGUUCCAGAACAGAGACCGUUCCCAUCAGAAGAUGGAAGAGAAAGGCCAGAAACACUGUGACCUCCAGCAGUACCUCAGAGACCAGAAUCUUUUGAUGCUCCGGACCUCACUACUAGAGUGAAGAAGCUGCAGUGUGGGUAAGCAGGUCCUUGAGCAUUUCCCAAACCUGCUCUGCAUCGUAUAGGUGUGAGUCAGUGUGCUGGAGCUCAGGAAACAGUGCAGUUGUGACGAGCAAAACUACAGUUCCUGGGGAGAUCUUAUAGCUUCCUUUUCUUGCAGUCAGCGUGCAUUUUCACUGCUCUGUCCUUUGCAAGCCUUCCUCUCUGGAGGUACUAGUCUAACCUACCCGUUCAAUAUGUAGACUCCCCAACUCUGUCAAACUAUUCUCCUUGUCUUAUGUGUAUUGAGUGACCAAACUGACAGACCCAACUCUGCAACCAAGAGCUAAGUUGGUAAUUCAUGUAAUUAUAGCAUUUGGUUCCUGCCCCAAAGGCAGCCCCCAUCUGGAGGGGUCUAGCUUUCUCCAUAGGACUCCAAGGAGUUGGCACCUGUAGUGUUGGGUUCAGGUUUGAGCCUGGUGAAAGAAAACAUCAUGGGAGCACUCCAGAGGGGAGCAACAGAAGAGCUGAGAGUUACAAAAGCCAUUCAGAGAGACAGCACGAGGCCUAGAGCCUGGCAGAAGGACAUCAGCCUAUAACUGAUUUCAAGCUGCAAAUGACAGAGAUGAAUUAGUUAAGUGAGGGCCUCCUACUGUCACGGCCCACUCCUUGAAGCGUGCAGGCCACUCCCCUAGAGGAAGAAUGACUUACAUAACUCCAAAAUGCAAAAACAUGUUUUUUGGUGAAAAGCCACCUGUUCUAGGCAUUGAGAGGAAGAAAAUAUCUGUACUUCUCUGAAAUGUGUCUGGAGAAUCGCUGAAUCCAAGGGUGGGCUUGGGUGUCUGAUAUGUUUUACCUAUUGCCCCACUUUCAGGCUUGUUGUCUACAAAAGCAGAAGUUUUAAGCUGGGGAGAGUGUCAGGAAGGUACUGAGAUAGCUUUGCAAGUAGAGUGCCUGUUCAGAGUAAAUAGGCUUAACAUGCACCAUGAAUAAGUGAGGAGAAUGCUGCUAAGACAAAUAUUUAGAUAAACUGAAAGGUAAGCGAACAAACUGUACCACAAACCAUGGUAGCCAGUAGCAGUAGCCAAGACAGGAGGAGAAGGGUUCCCCAUUCAGGCUACAGUUACCAGCUGGCAUCCAGGAUGCUACUAGCUCCCCUGAUUGUGUAGCAGCAUCACUCACUUUCCUUAGUGAAACAUGCAGUUAUCAGCCACUCCCAUGGACAAGCUAUCACCUUCUCUCCCACAGAAGGGAAACAGCAAGACACACCAAGAGCCAGCUUUAUACAAGAGGAAAGGAGAGAAGAGCUUUUGAAUGCAUUGUACUCUGAUUAACAGAAGCAACUUCAUUCACAAAGGAGGAGGGAGGUUAUGGAUGGCAUGUCCUCAAGUGCUAUCCUUCUUCCUCAUAUCAUCAGCGAUAUAAAGUAUAGCAGCUGUGUCCCAGAGAACACUAUCAGCAGCUUUGAGUGGCCAGAAUUUAACUGUUUCAUUUUCAUGUUAUUUUCACAAGUAGUUAGGAAAUGAGAAUGGACAUGGCACAAUGUAUUUGAUGGACCACUCUGAGCCAUAUCAAAGGCCAUUCUUAGUUCCUACAGAAGUAGGUUAAAUACAAAUUUAAAACGCUUGAGAGCCUUUGUUUUAAGUAAUGCCCAGAAACAAGCAAUACAAAAAUUAAAAUGCUGUUGCCUGACAUUUUGUGUACACUUAGAAACAUAUAACACUAUAUCCACAUAAGUAGUUUCUCUUCUUUGCUUAACCAUCUGAAAACAUACUACUACAGAGCCCUUGUGCCACUGCAAUUUCAUGAAAAAUAUAUCUGGAAAUAUAUUUAGUAUUAAAAUAUUUCCUAUCAUUCACAGACUGUUUCUUACUAUUAAUAUAAGGUCAUAAAAUCAUUUUUAAGAAUACCAUUAAAAUGACUGUAAGAGGCACAAAUGAUCUAGCUCAUUUUUUGGGUUUAACUAUUUCGUUUUGAUAACAUUAAUAAGUUUUCCAUCCAUUACUGAAAAUGGAUAAAAGACUCCUUGUUUUGUAAACUACCAGAGACAAAAAACAAGUAUUUGCAUGUUAGUGUGAGGAUUUGAGUUGACUUCAGAUUUUUUUUGGGGGGGGGGGGGGGGGGGGGGGAGAAGGAAAAGGAGAAAUGGGAAUAAAGAGAUGAAGAAAAGGCUUUUUUUUUUAAGC